rnacentral:rRNA from 1 species
AUUGAACGCUGGCGGCAGGCCUAACACAUGCAAGUCGAGCGGAACGGGGGACGGGUAAGUAAUGCCGAGGGAUCUGCAUGGUAGUAGGGGAUGACGUCCGGGAACGGGCCCUAAUAACGCAUAACAUCAGAUGAGCCUAGGUCGGAUUAGCUAGUUGGUGGGGUAAAGGCCUACCAAGGCGACGAUCCGUAACUGGUCUGAGAGGAUGAUCAGUCACACUUGAACUGAGACACGGUCCAGACUCCCACGGGAGGCCGAAUUGGUGAAUCUUGGACCAUGGGCGAACGCGUGAUCCUGCCUUUCCGCGUGUUUGAAGAAGGUCUUCGGAUCGUAAAGCACUUUAAGUGGGGAGGCGCUACCAACCUAAGAAGCCCCGGCUAACUCCGUGCCAGCAGCCGCGGUAAUAC